rnacentral:rRNA from 1 species
CGUAGGGUGCGAGCGUUAAUCGGAAUUACUGGGCGUAAAGCGUGCGCAGGCGGUGAUGUAAGACAGUUGUGAAAUCCCCGGGCUCAACCUGGGAACUGCAUCUGUGACUGCAUCGCUGGAGUGCGGCAGAGGGGGAUGGAAUUCCGCGUGUAGCAGUGAAAUGCGUAGAUAUGCGGAGGAACACCGAUGGCGAAGGCAAUCCCCUGGGCCUGCACUGACGCUCAUGCACGAAAGCGUGGGGAGCAAACAGGAUUAGAUACCCUGGUAGUCCACGCCCUAAACGAUGUCAACUGGUUGUUGGGUCUUCACUGACUCAGUAACGAAGCUAACGCGUGAAGUCGACCGCCUGGGGAGUACGGCCGCAAGGUUG